rnacentral:rRNA from 1 species
CUACGGGGUGCAGCAGUGAGGGAUUUUGCGCAAUGGGGGGAACCCUGACGCAGCAACGCCGCGUGAGUGAAGAAGGCCUUUGGGUCGUAAAGCUCUGUCAACAGGGAAGAAGUUAUCUUGUAUAAAUAGUGUAAGAUAUUGACGGUACCUGUGGAGGAAGCAUCGGCUAACUCCGUGCCAGCAGCCGCGGUAAUACGGGGGAUGCAAGCGUUAUUCGGAAUUAUUGGGCGUAAAGGGCGCGUAGGCGGUUUUGUCGGUCAGAUGUGAAAGCCCGGGGCUCAACCUCGGAAGAGCAUUUGAAACAGCAAGACUAGAGUACAGGAGAGGAAAGCGGAAUUUCUGGUGUAGAGGUGAAAUUCGUAGAUAUCAGGAGGAAUACCGAUGGCGAAGGCAGCUUUCUGGACUGAUACUGACGCUGAGGUGCGAAGGCGUGGGUAGCGAACAGGAUUAGAUACCCUUGUAGUC